CUCAUUAGCAUGGUGCUGCUCCC
rnacentral:piRNA from 1 species